rnacentral:rRNA from 1 species
AUUGAACGCUGGCGGCGUGCUUAACACAUGCAAGUCGAGCGGUAACAGGCGUAGCAAUACGUGCUGACGAGCGGCGAACGGGUGAGUAAUGCUUCGGAAUCUUCCUUGUAGUGGGGAAUAACCUGGGGAAACUCAGGCUAAUGCCGUAUACGAACCAUGGUUGAAAGCGGGGGCACGCAAGACCUCGCGCUAUAAGAUGAGCCGAAGUCGGAUUAGCUAGUUGGUGGGGUAAAGGCCUACCAAGGCGACGAUCCGUACCUGGUCUGAGAGGACGACCAGCCACACUGGGACUGAGACACGGCCCAGACUCCUACGGGAGGCAGCAGUGGGGAAUAUUGGACAAUGGGGGCAACCCUGAUCCAGCGACGCCGCGUGUGUGAAGAAGGCCUGCGGGUUGUAAAGCACUUUUAGUGGGGACAAAAAGCCGAGGGCUAAUACCUUUCGGUCUUGAUUUAACCCAAAGAAAAAGCACCGGCUAACUCUGUGCCAGCCGCCGCCGUAAAAC